CCUACGGGGGGCAGCAGUGGGGAAUAUUGGACAAUGGGGGGAACCCUGAUCCAGCCAUGCCGCGUGUGUGAAGAAGGCCCUCGGGUUGUAAAGCACUUUCAGUGAGGAAGAACGCCUGGUGGUUAAUACCCAUCAGGAAAGACAUCACUCACAGAAGAAGCACCGGCUAACUCCGUGCCAGCAGCCGCGGUAAUACGGAGGGUGCGAGCGUUAAUCGGAAUUACUGGGCGUAAAGCGCGCGUAGGUGGCUUGAUAAGCCGGUUGUGAAAGCCCCGGGCUCAACCUGGGAACGGCAUCCGGAACUGUCAAGCUGGAGUGCAGGAGAGGAAGGUAGAAUUCCCGGUGUAGCGGUGAAAUGCGUAGAGAUCGGGAGGAAUACCAGUGGCGAAGGCGGCCUUCUGGACUGACACUGACACUGAGGUGCGAAAGCGUGGGUAGCAAACAGGAUUAGAUACCCUAGUAGUC
rnacentral:rRNA from 1 species